UACGUAGGGGGCAAGCGUUGUCCGGAAUCAUUGGGCGUAAAGAGCGUGUAGGCGGCCCGAUAAGUCCGCUGUGAAAGUCCAGGGCUCAACCCUGGGAUGCCGGUGGAUACUGUCGGGCUCGAGUCCGGAAGAGGAGUGUGGAAUUCCUGGUGUAGCGGUGAAAUGCGCAGAUAUCAGGAGGAACACCGGUGGCGAAGGCGGGUCUCUGGGCCGUAACUGACGCUGAGACGCGAAAGCGUGGGGAGCGAACAGG
rnacentral:rRNA from 1 species